CCAGCAGGGUCAGCAGCGAGAGCAGAAGCGAUAAAAUGAUCUUCUGGAGAGCCAUCACUGCCUUGGAGGUGCCUGGGGAGAAACCAAGAGGUAGGAGAAAGGAAGAGUGAAGUUAGGCCUCAUCUCCACAUCAUGGUUUCACAGUAUCUGCCAUUGUGGCCACUUGGAUUGGCAUCAUAAUGCUGGGCCAGGAAGAGUCUAUAGUGUUGUCAUUUGAGCCAGCGUCAGUGGGGUCAGACCCAGACCCAGCAUGAAGACCAGCAACAGGGGACCCAGGUCCAUCAUCACCUCUACUAACAAAGGCUC